CCAGAGGAUGAGUCCACGCGGAGAAGAGGACUGAUAAGAUUUUCAGACAAAUGGACCUGAAUAAUGAUGGUAAACUGUCUCUGGAGGAGUUCAUCAAAGGUGCCAAAAGUGACCCCUCCAUCGUUCGGCUACUGCAGUGUGACCCCAGCUCCGCCUCCCAGUUCUGAAUCCUGCUACAUGAGCCACGCCCCCUGCCCCGCCCUUACACCCC